AGUGAACGCUGGCGGUAGGCCUAACACAUGCAAGUCGAACGGCAGCACAGUAAGAGCUUGCUCUUACGGGUGGCGAGUGGCGGACGGGUGAGGAAUACAUCGGAAUCUACUUUUUCGUGGGGGAUAACGUAGGGAAACUUACGCUAAUACCGCAUACGACCUACGGGUGAAAGCAGGGGAUCUUCGGACCUUGCGCGAUUGAAUGAGCCGAUGUCGGAUUAGCUAGUUGGCGGGGUAAAGGCCCACCAAGGCGACGAUCCGUAGCUGGUCUGAGAGGGUGAUCAGCCACACUGGAACUGAGACACGGUCCAGACUCCUACGGGAGGCAGCAGUGGGGAAUAUUGGAUAAUGGGCGCAAGCCUGAUCCAGCCAUACCGCGUGGGUGAAGAAGGCCUUCGGGUUGUAAAGCCCUUUUGUUGGGAAAGAAAAGCAGCAGGUUAAUACCCCGCUGUUCUGACGGUACCCAAAGAAUAAGCACCGGCUAACUCCGUG
rnacentral:rRNA from 1 species